AUAGCGAAUCUUUCUAAAGCUCUGAUCAGUCAAGAAGGGGGUUGUAUCAAUCCUCAGAACCCUGAGUGGAACUUUCUACAGGAUUUAUUAGGAGAAAAACCUUCCCGGAAGCUGCAGAAGGACAAAUACAGAAUCCGUGUCUGGGAGAAACCUCGUGGCCUGGUCUCCAUUAUUUGAGAUGAGUUACAUCUUGGAGGUGAGGACGUGCCUCGUGGUCUAAAGCUUCGGCACAAGGGCCCAACUGGAAUUCCACUUACGGGCCUGAUCUUUUGGCCAGAAGGAGAUUAAAAAGAUGCCCCUCAAGAUGGCUGUGCCUGUCAGCUGCAUGGAGCUUCGUUCAAGUAUUUUCUGAGCCUGAUGGAUUUACAGUGAUCUUCAGUGGUCUGGGGAAUAACGCUGGUGGAACCAUGCACUGGAAUGACACACGCCCGGCACAUUUCAGGAUACUAAAAGUGGUUUUAAGGGAGGCUGUGGCUGAAUGCCUCAUGGAUUCUUACAGCUUGGAUGUCCAUGGGGGACGAAGGACUGCAGCUGGCUGAGAGGGUUGAGAUCUCUGUUUACUUAGAUCUCUGCCAACUUCCUUUGGGUCUCCCUAUGGAAUGUAAGACCCCGACUCUUCCUGGUGAAGCAUCUGAUGCACGUUCCAUCCGGCGCUCAGCUGGGCUUGAGCUGACCAUACUCCCUGGAGCCUUCUCCCGAGGUGCGCGGGUGACCUUGGCACAUACAGCCAUCAUGAUGGUACUUUAAGUGGAGGCUGAAUCAUCUCCCCUUUGAGCUGCUUGGCACGUGGCUCCCUUGGUGUUCCCCUUUUACUGCCAGGACACUGAGAUUUGGAGAGGCAACUACACAGCCAGUGGUGGGAAAGCACCUAAUUUACAUCUUCAUGCAUUGAAACUGAUGUCACUCACCUCUCCCCCUUGACCUGGAAGAGCCCCUGAAGGCUGCCAUAGGGGAAAUGAUAACCCAUUCUACAGCUGCUGAAACUGAGGCCCAGGGAGUGUCCAGAGCUUUCUGAGGUCCACCAUGUACUGUUGACCAGGAUGAGUGAUAGCCACCUGGUGACAAUGUUGAAGGUUCUCAUUCAGUAGAGCUGGGUUCAAUUCUGACUUGCCUGACCAGCUGGUGCCUCAUUUUGCUCUAAGUAUUGGAGCCUCCAGCUUUAUUUUCUUUCAGUGGGAAAGACUGUGAGAUUCAGUCCCUCCUUGAAGCUGCGCAUCGACUCUCCUGUCCUGGGUACUCUUUAGGUAGUGGCUGUUCUGAAGUGGCUUUGGAAACCCUGGAAUGAAACUGUCAUGUCCAAUGCUGAGAUUUGUAUAAACUGUCAUUUUAACUGUGAUUAUUAUUCCUUAGGAUUUGAGAAAUAAAAUCUGAGGAGGGAGCAGGACCUGCCUCAGGGCCUCCUCUCCAAGUUGAGUGA
ensembl:lncRNA PVT1 Pvt1 oncogene